rnacentral:rRNA from 1 species
GGAGGUAGUGACAAUAAAUCACAAUGCGGAACAAUGUUUUGCAAUUGGAUUGAGAACAACGUACAAACCUUAUCGAUAAACAAUUGGAGGGCAAGUCUGGUGCCAGCAGCCGCGGUAAUUCCAGCUCCAAUAGCGUAUAUUAACGUUGUUGCAGUUAAAAAGCUCGUAGUUGAAAUGAAGGGUGGUUGUGUAAUGAAUACAUUCGUGUAUUUUGUUAUUCUACUACCCUCCUUCUAAAUUCGAUAUAUGAGUAUUAAUUUACUUGUAUAUGGUUUUAGACGUUUACUGUGAGAAAAUUAGAGUGUUCAAAGCAGGCAUUUGCUUGAAUAUAUUAGCAUGGAAUAAUCAUGUAUGAUUUUCAUGAUGUAUUUGAUUGGUUUGGUUCAUGAGAAUAAGAUUAAAAGGGACAGUUGGGGGUAUUCAUAUUCAAUAGUCAGAGGUGAAAUUCUCGGAUUUAUGGAAGAUGAACAAGUGCGAAAGCAUUUACCAAGGAUGUUUUCAUUAAUCAAGAACGAAAGU